rnacentral:siRNA from 1 species
AUGGAUAUUCCUGGAUGCAUUGUA